UACGGAGGGGGCUAGCGUUGUUCGGAAUUACUGGGCGUAAAGCGCACGUAGGCGGCUUUGUAAGUUAGAGGUGAAAGCCCAGGGCUUAACCCUGGAAUAGCCUUUAAUACUGGAUAUCUUGAGUUCGGGAGAGGUGAGUGGAACUCCGAGUGUAGAGGUGAAAUUCGUAGAUAUUCGGAAGAACACCAGUGGCGAAGGCGACUCACUGGCCCGAUACUGACGCUGAGGCGCGAAAGCGUGGGGAGCAAACAGG
rnacentral:rRNA from 1 species